AUCUUUUGAGAGGAAAAAGAUCCAACAAAUUUUUAUCUCCCUUAUCCCUUUUUCUCUUCAUCACUACCAAUAAUAAUAGUUUUUUUUUUCGUCGCGGAAGCAAAAUGGCGAACAAGUGUUGGAAUAAGAGUAC
ensembl:snoRNA K11D9.10 ncRNA